rnacentral:hammerhead_ribozyme from 1 species
AUCCAGCUGACGAGUCCCAAAUAGAACGAAUCACGAUUCUUAGAU